rnacentral:rRNA from 1 species
UACGAAGGGGGCGAGCGUUGUUCGGAUUUACUGGGCGUAAAGGGCGCGUAGGCGGCCCUUCAAGUCAGGCGUGAAAGCCCCGGGCUCAACCUGGGAGGUGCGCUUGGGACUGGAGGGCUGGAGUUCGGGAGAGGAGCGUGGAAUUCCCAGUGUAGAGGUGAAAUUCGUAGAUAUUGGGAAGAACACCGGUGGCGAAGGCGGCGCUCUGGACCGAGACUGACGCUGAGGCGCGAAAGCGUGGGGAGCAAACAGG